GAUUUCAGCUCAUUUCCUUUAUACGCACCUUUAACAGGAAGAGUUUUAUACAGCUAGUGUUUAAAAUCCAGUGUUCCUCACAGUACACAGGUAACGAGCAUAAUGAUUAUUGAAUUAGUAACAUUUUCUAAAAUCAUUGUUUUAGUUAAUAUUGUAUGAUAGUGUACACAGAAUUAUUAGCUCAGUAGGCAGAGUGGUCGCCCCGUGAUCAUAAGGUCAGGGGUUGAAUCCACCGAAUAGUUACCUUGUGGUACCCCUGAGCGAGGUACCAUCAAGGUACCAAUCGUGUGCACUGAACUGGUAGCACUCAUGGUCUCAAAGGUUUAAAAUAAAAAAAGGUUCAACAUAUAAACAAAUUUAAUUUGAUCACAUAUAUUGUUUUUGUUUUUUCCCUUUCUCUCUCAGACUGAGCAGCUGUAAGUCUCAGAGAAAGGCUGUGAAAAUCUGCUGUCACUGGUCAGCUCCCAGUCCUGUAGUCUGAGAGAGCUGGACCUGAGUACCAACAGCCUGAAGGCUUCAGCAGUAAAGCUUCUGUCUGCUGCAGUGGAGAGUCCACACGCCAAACUGAAUGUUCUGAGACUUAACAUCUGUGAACUCUCAGAGGAAAACUGUGAAGCUCUGUCCUCAGUUCUCAGCUCACAGUCCUCUAGUCUGACAGAGCUGGACCUGAGUAUCAGAAAGCUGCAGGAUUCAGGAGUGAAGCUUCUGUCUGCUGGACUACAACGUUUAAACUGUAAACUGAAUACUCUGAGACUGAGUGGCUGUAACCUGUCAGAGAGAAGCUGUGAAGCUCUGUCCUCAGUCCUCAGCUCCCAGUCCUCCAGUCUGAGAGAGCUGGACCUGAGUAACUCUGACCUGCAGGAUUCAGGAGUGAAGCUUCUGUCGCUGGACUAAAGAGUUCACAGUGUGCAGUGGAAACUCUCAGUCUGUCAGGCUGUCUGAUCACAGAGGAAGGCUGUACUUCUCUGGCCUCAGCUCUGAGCUCCAACCCCUCCCAUCUGAGAGAGCUGGACCUGAGCUACAAUCAUCCAGGUGACUCAGGAAUGAAGCUGCUGUCGGCUGGACUGAAGGAUCCAGGCUGGAGACUGGACACUCUCAGGUAUGGAGAGAAUGUCUGAUAGAGGAGGAAGAGCUGGAAACAUUUCCUGUGUCCUUCACUCACUUCCUGUUUGUUUCCUGCAGAUGAGACAUGAACAAUCACACAUGCAGGAAUAUUUUCAGGGACAGACACACUAGUCUAGCUGGAUAGUACAUGGAUAUUUAUGUAGGGGGUCUCCAAGGAGUCUGUUUGCAGGAACAUUAAUGAUAACUGUAUCAUGUUGAGAGUUUCAUUAAAAGUAGACCUACAGUUAGGUCCAUAAAUAUUUGGACAGAGACAACAUUUUGUAACUUUAGAUACACUUUAUUAGGUCACAGGUGUGUUACAUGAGAUAGUGGCACUGUGUACCUAAUAAGUGUCAGCCAUGUGUAUGUUUCCCAUGCUGUAUGUCCACAGUCAC